CCCAGCUGCUUUAUCCAUCUGCUUUGUGUCUCAUUAGCAGACAGAGCCCAGAAAGACAGGAGGCUUUGACCAUAUCUCAGUUGAACACAGUUUUCUAGAGAAGGGCUCCACCCCUGGACAUUUUCCUGGGCGAGUGAGCAUCUUGGGGGUUAUUUUAGAUGAAGAAACUGAUAUCCUCAAGGCCUGGCGUGCUGUAAUUCAUGGGGUUGCAAAGAGUCGGAUACAACUGAGCGGCUGAACUGAACUGAACUGAACAGUCACUUGACCACUUGGCUUUUCUUCCUAUUGAGAUGCUUUGGGCCAUCUGUAUGCCCCACUCCGAAGUGAAGCACCAAGAGUGUGGCUCAUACACAAUGGACGUGUCACCAGGCUGUCAAUUUCUUUGGCUGGACAGUCAAUGGAUUCAGCCAGUCGGAUAAGAAAAUGAAAAUGAGAUGGUAAAGGCUUUCUUUAGGCAUUGUAAAAUGACCUGGGUAUGAAGACCUUUCUAAAUAUUUAGCC
ensembl:lncRNA